rnacentral:rRNA from 1 species
CGCGGCCUAUCAGCUUGUUGGUGAGGUAACGGCUCACCAAGGCGACGACGGGUAGCCGGCCUGAGAGGGCGACCGGCCACACUGGGACUGAGACACGGCCCAGACUCCUACGGGAGGCAGCAGUGGGGAAUAUUGCACAAUGGGCGAAAGCCUGAUGCAGCGACGCCGCGUGAGGGAUGACGGCCUUCGGGUUGUAAACCUCUUUCAGCAGGGAAGAAGCGAAAGUGACGGUACCUGCAGAAGAAGCGCCGGCUAACUACGUGCCAGCAGCCGCGGUAAUACGUAGGGCGCAAGCGUUGUCCGGAAUUAUUGGGCGUAAAGAGCUCGUAGGCGGCUUGUCACGUCGGGUGUGAAAGCCCGGGGCUUAACCCCGGGUCUGCAUUCGAUACGGGCUAGCUAGAGUGUGGUAGGGGAGAUCGGAAUUCCUGGUGUAGCGGUGAAAUGCGCAGAUAUCAGGAGGAACACCGGUGGCGAAGGCGGAUCUCUGGGCCGAUACUGACGCUGAGGAGCGAAAGCGUGGGGAGCGAACAGGAUUAGAUACCCUGGUAGUCCACGCCGUAAACGGUGGGCACUAGGUGUGGGCAACAUUCCACGUUGUCCGUGCCGCAGCUAACGCAUUAAGUGCCCCGCCUGGGGAGUACGGA